rnacentral:rRNA from 1 species
CCUACGGGUGGCAGCAGUGGGGAAUAUUGCGCAAUGGGCGAAAGCCUGAAGCAGCGACGCCGCGUGAGGGAUGAAGGUCUUCGGAUCGUAAACUUCUGUUAUCAGGGAAGAAUGGUGACUGUGCUAAGCAACAGUGAAUUGCCGGUACCUGAAAAGGAGGCACCGGCCAACGCCGUGCCAGCAGCUGCGGGAAUACGGAGGGUGUUAGCGUUAUUCGGAAUUUUUGGGCGGAAAGCGCGCGUAGGGGGGAUGUCAAGUCAAGGGUGAAAGCCCCGAGCUCAACGUGGGAACUGCCUUUGAAACUGGCAAACUUGAGUGUGUGAGAGGUAAGUGGAAUGCCGGGUGUAGGGGUGAAAUCCGUAGAUAUCGGGAGGAACACCAGUGGCGAAGGCGACUAGCUGGCACAUAACUGACGCUGAGGAGCGAAAGCGUGGGUAGCAAACAGGAUUAGAUACCCCUGUAGUC